AGGGUUCGAUUCUGGCUCAGGAUGAACGCUGGCGGCGUGCUUAACACAUGCAAGUCGAACGAAGCGUCCCGCCCGAUGAAGUGGAGUGCUUGCACAAAGCAGAAUCAAUUGGGAUGACUUAGUGGCGGACGGGUGAGUAACGCGUGGGUAACCUGCCUUACACAGGGGGACAACAGUUGGAAACGACUGCUAAUACCGCAUAACCCGCUAGUACCGCAUGGUACAGACGGAAAAGAUUUAUCGGUGUAAGAUGGACCCGCGUCUGAUUAGCUAGUUGGUGAGGUAACGGCUCACCAAGGCGACGAUCAGUAGCCGGCCUGAGAGGGUGAACGGCCACAUUGGGACUGAGACACGGCCCAAACUCCUACGGGAGGCAGCAGUGGGGAAUAUUGGACAAUGGGGGAAACCCUGAUCCCAGCGACGCCGCGUGAGUGAAGAAGUAUUUCGGUAUGUAAAGCUCUAUCAGCAGGGAAGAAAAUGACGGUACCUGACUAAGAAGCCCCGGCUAACUACGUGCCAGCCGCCGC
rnacentral:rRNA from 1 species